rnacentral:rRNA from 1 species
AUUGAACGCUGGCGGCAUGCUUUACACAUGCAAGUCGAACGGCAGCACGGGCUUCGGCCUGGUGGCGAGUGGCGAACGGGUGAGUAAUAUAUCGGAACGUACCCUGGAGUGGGGGAUAACGUAGCGAAAGUUACGCUAAUACCGCAUACGAUCUACGGAUGAAAGUGGGGGAUCGCAAGACCUCAUGCUCCUGGAGCGGCCGAUAUCUGAUUAGCUAGUAGGUAGGGUAAAGGCCUACCUAGGCGACGAUCAGUAGCUGGUCUGAGAGGACGACCAGCCACACUGGAACUGAGACACGGUCCAGACUCCUACGGGAGGCAGCAGUGGGGAAUUUUGGACAAUGGGGGCAACCCUGAUCCAGCAAUGCCGCGUGAGUGAAGAAGGCCUUCGGGUUGUAAAGCUCUUUUGUCAGGGAAGAAACGGGCUUGGCUAAUAUCCAGGCCUAAUGACGGUACCUGAAGAAUAAGCACCGGCUAACUACGUGCCAGCCGCCGCCGUAACAC